rfam:Aerococcus christensenii strain CCTG28831, complete genome.
UGGGAUAUGGUCAAGUGGUAAGACGGCAGAUUCUGGCUCUGCAAUCCUAGGUUCGAACCCUGGUAUCCCAG